CGGGCGCCGCUGCCCAUCCCGCCCGGCGGCCCGCUCACCAUCCCCGAGAGCGGCACCGCGCAGCUUUUCGUCAGCGCCUUCUACCGCGAAGUUGUUGCAUCUAGUGGCUUUCGUUUUCGCAGGCGCACACCCACGCCUGGGCUCCGGCCCCGGGCUUGGUCGGGCUGGGCUGUCCUGGGUUUGCUGGGCGGGCGCAGUACAGACUCCACCAGCGCCAGCCGCCCCCGCGUGCCACUACCUAGGCCAGUCUGGCCUCCCACCUGCCGUUCGAUAGAACACCAGCCCAGUCCGGGCACCAGGAGCACCGCACCCACCGGUCGGCGACUUCCUCUGUAGAGGCGCUUGGGGAAACCACGGCCCUCGGGCUUCCUGCUGCGCCUGGGGCUGGGGCAACUGCCCGAGCCCACCCGGGGGAACUGAGCGCAGAAAGGCAGAAAGUCAGGCAGACAGAGGUCAAGUCAGACAAAAGGAAGCUGAGAAUGUGUGCUCAUCAUCCCCACCCAGGCCAGGAAGAGGCUGUGUUAUCAGUGUUGCACACAGCUGUCUGGAAGGAAGACUCCAGGAGGCUUCCAAGCCCACCAGCAAUACCUACUCUCCAGAGAAUGUCUGCCCUGCCACAGACAGCCCUCACACACUGUGGGGAAAAGGUUUACUGGCAUCAUUUCACCAGUCAGCACAAAUGAACUCGCCAUGGCUUCUGGGGAAGGGUGCUGAGUGGCCUGAAGGCCCAGUACCUGACUCACAGCAACAGGGAAGCCUACAGCACAUAAGAACUUUUGAGGGUAGGGGGUAUGUGUUGCUAAGUCCUGAACAAACAAAAAUUCAAGAGGGGCAUCCCUGGAAGAACACCCACUCCCAGAUGGGCUCUGGAGGCACUGGCAUGCCCAUCUAACCUUAUUUUUCAGGGUAGCAUCCCAGGCAGUCCAGGCUGGCCUCAAACUUCAUGGUGACUUUCCUGCUUCAGCUUCUGACUGAAGAUUACAGAAGUGAGCCACUACCUAUUGCCUUGGCCUCUUAAACCCUGUUUCUACACCACAUGAUGUCCUGCGCUCCAAGCCCUGGCUUAUGCCAACUAACAGUCUCCAGAGGCAUCCUCACCUCUUGCUGCCCAGUGAUAACAAAGCCCAGUGAGAUAUUCCUCAUAGGGUGACAAUCACCCUUCUUGUCCCCCUCACCAGAGGAAUGUUUUUGAGUACAGGCUGGAGUGGCAAGUGACAACACCACGACAAAAGUUAGUAGGUCUAUAUCUACAUUACAUCCUUGAGAAUUCUGCAGGCUUCGAAGAACUUUGGGCUUCCUGGUACGUGCUAAUAGCCUAAACAGUUGAGACCAGUGGGUCCUAGUUGCUCAUAAAGCUCCUGGAUGUUGAAAGGUGUGGACCUCUACCAGUACUCUGGAGAGAGAGCCACUCUUCUACCUCAGGGAAUCCUGAAGGCCUGAGGUUGGGGGACUCUACCAGCCAAUGAGGCUCUGCUGAAUAGGCCAUCUUGAUCACUCUCUCUGCAGGAGCCCUCUUGAGCAGCUAUAGGUUUCCUUGGGAAUGGAGACAUAGCCUUUGGCAUACCUAGUCAAUGGCAUAUGAAGACACUCAUAUGGCUCAAGUUGGGGUGAGUCUUUGGUCUUGAGAAGCUACAUUCUGAAUGACAAAGCUGGGCUGUACCUGAGCUACCCAGGGACCACGUGUCCCCAGUGGUAUCUUAUAGCUGUUCCUUUUAUAAAGAUCUGACUCCUUA